CCCGAAGGCGCGUGCUAAACAUGCAGUUGAACGAGAAAGUGGAGCAAUCCAUGAGUAAAGUGGCGCACGGGUGAGUAAAACGUGACUAACCUACCCUUGAGUGGGGGAUAACUGAGGGAAACCUUAGCUAAUACCGCAUAAUACCCACGGGUCAAAGGAGCAAUUCGCUCGAGGAGGGGGUCGCGGCCGAUUAGUUAGUUGGCGGGGUAAUGGCCCACCAAGACGAUGAUCGGUAUCCGGCCUGAGAGGGCGCACGGACACACUGGAACUGAAACACGGUCCAGACUCCUACGGGAGGCAGCAGUGGGGAAUUUUGCGCAAUGGGGGAAACCCUGACGCAGCAACGCCGCGUGGAGGAUGAAGUCCUUCGGGACGUAAACUCCUUUCGAUCGGGACGAUUAUGACGGUACCGGAAGAAGAAGCCCCGGCUAACUUCGUGCCAGCAGCCGCGGUAAUACGAGGGGGGCGAGCGUUGUUCGGAAUUAUUGGGCGUAAAGGGUGCGUAGGCGGUUUGGUAAGUCUGAUGUGAAAUCUAUGGGCUCAACUCAUAGUCUGCAUCGGAAACUGCCGGGCUUGAGUGUGGGAGAGGUGAGUGGAAUUUCCGGUGUAGCGGUGAAAUGCGUAGAUAUCGGAAGGAACACCUGUGGCGAAAGCGGCUCACUGGACCACAACUGACGCUGAUGCACGAAAGCUAGGGGAGCAAACAGGAUUAGAUACCCUGGUAGUCCUAGCCCUAAACGAUGACUGCUUGGUGUGACGGGUACCCAAUCCCGCCGUGCCGUAGCUAACGCGUUAAGCAGUCCGCCUGGGGAGUACGGUCGCAAGGGCUGAAACUCAAAGGAAUUGACGGGGGCCCGCACAAGCGGUGGAGCAUGGUGGUUAAUUCGACGCAACGCGAAGAACCUUACCUGGGCUCGUAAUGCUAUGACGGAGUAGAAAAUAUUCCCUCCCCGCCAAGGGGGCCGGUAAAUAUAGGGGGUGCCU
rnacentral:rRNA from 1 species